UUGCACCUAAACUCCUAUUCUGGAUACAUACUUGGGAAAGAAACUUGGACAGUGCCAGUCCAAGAUGGUUGUAACUACCAGUGGCAUGGAACUGCAAAGGUUGUAUACAGAAGAUAGCACGGAGUUCCAUGUGUACAUAGAUGCAUUCUGUUGUUGCCAUUUCUGCAUGACCUACCUCACUCACACAGGAUCUAACCAGCACGAUUUCUUCUCCUGAAUUUGGAUGAAUUCUAGUACAUGGGCAAGAUCAGGUUGUAGACUUCUAAGACUGAAGGCCAUGACCUGUAUCAUGGUGAGCUCACCAAACCAAAUAGUGCUCAAGUGAUGAUCCUGCAGCAACCAACCUGUGCUAUUGUUUGUUGAUACCAAGUCCUUGCUGUAUAAUUUAAUAUUUCAUAAAUCCAUUAAGUUCCCAAUAAAUUUUGUGUCUCAUUGCUCUGUUAGAUGUAUAUGACUAUUUUCUAGUUAAAUGUGAAUUUUAAGGAAAUAUUUCUUAAUGUCUCCAAAUAUCAAAUAGUACAAAAAUUAGUCUCAAGCCAGGGAUACAGCUCAGUGGCACAGUACCUACCUGGCAAGUUCGAGGUCCUGGGUUCAAUUUCAGGUUCUAAAAACAAAACAAAACAAAAAUUUAGUAUCAAAAUAUGACUUUUCUACAAAUGACCACUUACUCAUUCACUGUAGUGUGAAUAUAUAAGGAAAGGUAGAGAUAAAUAAAUUCUUAAAAAAGGAAUUAAAUUUCCCAUACAUUUUGUUUAAUUCACUUUAAUUUUUCUAUGUUCUCUAUAUCCUAUUAUAUUCAUCUUCAUUUCAAUUUACAUUUUAAUGAUUUAGAUAGUUUGA